rnacentral:rRNA from 1 species
AGUGAACGCUGGCGGUAGGCCUAACACAUGCAAGUCGAACGGCAGCACAGUAAGAGCUUGCUCUUACGGGUGGCGAGUGGCGGACGGGUGAGGAAUACAUCGGAAUCUACUUUUUCGUGGGGGAUAACGUAGGGAAACUUACGCUAAUACCGCAUACGACCUACGGGUGAAAGCAGGGGAUCUUCGGACCUUGUGCGAUUGAAUGAGCCGAUGUCGGAUUAGCUAGUUGGCGGGGUAAAGGCCCACCAAGGCGACGAUCCGUAGCUGGUCUGAGAGGAUGAUCAGCCACACUGGAACUGAGACACGGUCCAGACUCCUACGGGAGGCAGCAGGGGGGAAUAUUGGACAAUGGGCGCAAGCCUGAUCCAGCCAGACCGCGUGGGUGAAGAAGGCCUUCGGGUUGUAAAGCCCUUUUGUUGGGAAAGAAAAGCAGCAGGUUAAUACCCCGCUGUUCUGACGGUACCCAAAGAAUAAGCACCGGCUAACUUCGU